rnacentral:rRNA from 1 species
AACGAACGCUGGCGGCGCGUCUUAACCAUGCAAGUCGAGCGGCAGGCAGCAAUGCCGAGAGCGGCGGACUGGUGAGUAACACGUGGGUGACGUACCCUUCAGACCGGGAUAGCCUGUAGAAAUAUAGGAUAAUACCGGGUGCGGUCGCAUAUGUCAGAGGUAUGCGAGGAAAGGAGCUCCGGCUCCGCUGAAGGAACGGCCUGCGGCCCAUCAGCUGGUUGGCGAGGUAACGGCUCACCAAGGCAACAACGGGUAUCCGGCCUAAGAGGGCGAACGGAGACAUUGGGACUGAGAUACGGCCCAGACUCCUACGGGAGGCAGCAGGUAAGAAUAUUCCGCAAUGGGCGAAAGCCUGACGGAGCGACGCCGCGUGGAUGAUGAAGGCCGAAAGGUUGUAAAAUCCUUUUAUAACUGACGAAUAAGUGCACGAGGAAAUGAGUGCAUGGUGACGGUAAGUUAUGAAUAAGCACCGGCUAAUUACGUGCCAGCCGCCGCGGUAA